GUCGCGUCAGGGCUGGCCGGCGGCGGAGGCGGCGGCGGCGGCGGCGAUGGCAGCGGACCCUGAGCGAGCUUGAGGGCUCGGACCCAGCUCCCUCCCGCGAAACCUUGGGCGGAUCCGGCGCUGCGGCCCCAGCUCGCUCCGCUCCUGCUCCCUCCCCGGCCGCUGCCUGGGCGGAGGCAGAGGCAGAGGCCCGGGCUGGCCGCCCUGCUCGUGCCCCAGCUCGGCCCCGGACGGCCCGGCUGCUGUGCAGAGAGGAGGCCGAGUCGUGAAAAGAGAAUACUGAAGAAUAGGAUCUCAAGAUGAGUAAAAAGCCCCCAAAUCGCCCUGGAAUCACUUUUGAGAUUGGUGCUCGUUUGGAGGCACUGGACUACUUACAAAAAUGGUAUCCAUCACGAAUUGAAAAAAUUGACUAUGAGGAGGGCAAGAUGUUGGUCCAUUUUGAGCGCUGGAGUCAUCGUUAUGAUGAGUGGAUUUACUGGGAUAGCAAUAGAUUGCGACCCCUUGAGAGACCAGCACU
rnacentral:lncRNA from 1 species